rnacentral:lncRNA from 1 species
AGCCCAUGCUUUGCUGGGAAUUAGCUCAGUGCUCCUGCUGAGACUGGGAAUCACAGACUGGAACUAAGAAUAACUGAAAGAAGGCAGAGAACAAACACCACCAGCUCCCCUCACUGUCAUCAACAUCGAAGUACUUUUCUGAAGCAAAAUGUUAAGAAGCUGAGACUGGACAUUUAAAGACUUGAAAGUUACUGAAUUUUCUGCCCAACUUGAUGUGGGAAAAUAUGCAGAAGAUAAUGCUGGUGUCUCAGGUGUUCUCAAGAGCUCAAUAAGAGAUGGAAAAAUUCCAGAAAUACAAAUCUAAAAUGGGUGGAGAGGUUCAGUGCCCAGCUCUGCAGUAUUGCCUUGGAGAUGCCUCCUUUUGGCUUUCGUGCCUUGUUUCAUGGGGAGCCUCUCAACAGAGUGGGCUUAACUAGGUAAGUCUGUGUGGCUGUAACUGUUACUAAUGUGCCCAAA